GGAGGCUACUGCUAUUGGGAUUCGACUAAGCCAUGCGAGUCAAGGUGUCUUCGGACGCCGGCGUACGGCUCAGUAACACGUAGGUAACCUACCCUCAGGACUGAGAUAACCCCGGGAAACUGGGGCUAAUAUUAGAUAGAUAAAAGAUACUGGAAUGUUCUUUUAUCCAAAGCUUUUGCGCCUGAGGAUGGGCCUGCGUCCGAUUAGGUUGUUGGUGGGGUAAUGGCCCACCAAGCCUACGAUCGGUACGGGCAGUGAGAGCUGAAGCCCGGAGUUGGGGACUGAGACAAGGCCCCAGGCCCUACGGGGCGCAGCAGGCGCGAAACCUCUGCAAUGCGGGAAACCGUGACAGGGGGAUCCCAAGUGCUCAUGCAUUGCAUGGGCUGUUCUUUGGUCUAAGUAACCAGAGGAGUAAGGGCUGGGCAAGACCGGUGCCAGCCGCCGCGGUAAUACCGGCAGCUCAAGUGGUAGCCGCGAUUAUUGGGCCUAAAGCGUUCGUAGCCGGAUAAGUAAGUCUUUGGCUAAAUCCUGCGACUUAACCGUGGGAAAUCUAGAGAUACUGCUUGUCUUGAGACCGGGAGAGGUUGGAGGUACUCCCAGGGUAGGGGUGAAAUCCUGUAAUCCUGGGGGGACCACCUGUGGCGAAGGCGUCCAACUGGAACGGGUCUGACGGUGAGGGACGAAACCUAGGGGAGCGAGCCGGAUUAGAUACCCGGGUAGUCCUAGGCGUAAAUGAUGCGAGUUAAGUGUGGGGGCAUCCACGAGAUGGCCCUGUGCUGUAGGGUAGCCGUUAAACUCGCCGCCUGGGGAGUACGGUCGCAAGGCUGAAACUUAA
rnacentral:rRNA from 1 species